rnacentral:rRNA from 1 species
UCUGGUUGAUCCUGCCAGUAGUGAUAUGCUUGUUUCAAAGAUUAAGCCAUGCAUGUCUAAGUAUAAGCGAACUUAUACAGUGAAACUGCGGAUGGCUCAUUAAAACAGUUUGAAUUUAUUUGAUGAAUGUAUGAGAAUACUACUUGGAUAACCGUAGUAAUUCUAGAGCUAAUACAUGCAACGACGCCCGACCGUUUCACUACGGAAGGGCUGUAUUUAUUGGAUACCAAAACCAUCCUUCCCUCGGGAAGUUUUGUUUGAUGAUUCACAAUAACUGAUCGGAUCGCCACUGUGGUGGCGACAGGUCAUUCAACAUUCUGCCCUAUCAGCUUUCGAUGGUUGUGUAGUGGACAACCAUGGCCAUAACGGGUAACGGAGAAUCAGGGUUCGAUUCCGGAGAAGGAGCUUGAGAAUUGGCUACUACAUCUAAGGAAGGCAGCAGGCGCGCAAAUUACCCAAUCCCGAUUCGGGGAGGUAGUGACAAAAAAUAACAAUACCGGGCCUUUUUGGGCUUGGUAAUUGGAAUGAGGGAGAGUUAAACGGACCAUCGAGUAUCCAUUGGAGGGCAAGUCUGGUGCCAGCAGCUGCGGUAAUACCAGCUCCAAUAGCGUAUAUUAAAGUUGUUGCAGUUAAAAGCUCGUAGUUGGACUUGUGUGCGCUGUCCGCGGGUGGCCUGCGCCCAAAAGGGCGUUUCGGUUCGGCCCCGGUGGCGCCUUGAAAUCUGCAGCUGGGGGGACGUUGGCCUUAACUGGUCGGCGACCGCACGCCGGCUGCUCGGUUACUGUGAGAAAAUUAGAGUGUUCAAGGCAGGCAUUGGGUGCAAUUGAAUACAUUAGCAUGGAAUAAUAAAAUAUGGCUCCUGCCGUAUUUUGUUGGUUUUGACUGGUGGGAGUAAUGAUUGAUAGGGACGGUUGGGGGUGCUAGUAUUGAGCGGCCAGAGGUGAAAUUCAUGGAUUCGCUCAAGACUAACUUAUGCGAAAGCAUUCACCAAGGACGUCCUCUUUAAUCAAGAACGAAAGUUGGGGGAUCGAAGACGAUCAGAUACCGUCGUAGUCUCAACCAUAAACUAUGUCGACUUGGGAUCGGCGGUAGUUUUUUCAUUAAGACACUGUCGGGACCACGGGAGAAAUCAAAGUGUCUGGACUCUGGGGGAAGUAUGGUCGCAAGGCUGAAACUUGAAGGAAUUGACGGAAGGGCACCACCAGGAGUGGAGCCU